UAGGGAAUAUUAGUAAUGGGCGAAAGCCUGAACUAGCAACACCGCGUGUGCGAAGAAGGCCUUCGGGUCGUAAAGCACUUUUUGGACGGAAUAGGAAGGAAUGUACUUCCAGAAUAAGUCUCGGCUAACUACGUGCCAGCAGCCGCGGUAACACGUAGGAGGCGAACGUUAUCCGGAUUUACUGGGCGUAAAGCGCGUGUAGGUGGUACUGUAAGUAGGGCGUGAAAGCUCCUGGCUCAACUGGGAGAGGCCGUUCUAAACUACAGAACUAGAGGAUCGUAGAGGGAGGUGGAAUUCCAGGUGUAGCGGUGGAAUGCGCAGAUAUCUGGAGGAACACCGGUGGCGAAGGCGGCCUCCUGGACCAUUCCUGACACUCAGACGCGAAAGCUAGGGUAGCAAACG
rnacentral:rRNA from 1 species